AGAGAAAGUCAGAUAUACUGGAACAACUGUGUAUCACACAGAGAGAACCAGCAGGAUUUGGUGACUGAGGACCUGUGUGAGUGAAGAUAGGGAGGCAAUACGCUCUGCCAGUCCCCGCCUGGGACAGGUUGGCCCUCGAGGCCGGGAUGUCGUAUUCAUGAACUUCUUUUUUUUUUGCUUUUUAGGGCCACACCCUUGGCAUAUGGAGGUUCUCAGGCUAGGGGUCCUGUCGGAACUGUAGCUGCCGGCCUACGCCAGAGCCACAGCAAUGCAGGAUCCGAGCCACGUCUGUGACUUAACAUCAUAGCUCGCAGCAACGCUGGAUCCUUAACCCGCUGAGCAAGGCCAGGGAUCCAACCAGCAUCCUCAUGGAUAUUACUCGAGUUUGUUAACUGCGGAGCCACGAUGGGAACUCCCUAAUUUUUUUUGUCCUUUUUUUUUUUUUUUUUUGCUUUUUAGGGCCGCACUUGUGGCAUAGGGAGGUUCCGAGGCUAGGGGUCAAAUGUGAGCUGUAGCUGCCAGCCUGUGUCACAGCCACAACUAUCCAGGAUCCGAGCCUCAUCUGCGACCUACACCGCAGCUCAUGGCAACACCAGAUCCUUAGUCCACUGAGCGAGGUCGGGGAUGGAACCUGCAACCUGGCGGUUCCUAGUUGGACUCACUGUGGUUUUCACUGUGCAGCGGCAACUCCUACGUAGGCACCUCCUGAUAGAUCCUGUUGACCUCUGGUGGCCGAGGAGCUGAGGGAAGGGAGGGGUCUGUGGGGUACAUAUGUCAAGCCUCCUGCUUGACACACAGUAAACAUGUCAGGGGUGCUUAAUAUCAUUAUAAAACAUGUUAACAUAUGUUUACUCUUACGGUGUACAUACAGGUAUCUGUGAAGACUCUUCUCUGCCGUGUGUUGUGUGUUUGAAAGCAUUUACACAUGAAGAAUUAAGGAAAAACAAAACACCAUUGGGGAUGCUUUCCUAAUUAUGCAAGGCCAGUAAUACAAAUUUCCAGCAUGACAUGUGACUUGAAUCUCACCUUUUGGAGGUCCAAACUUCUGUGAAUUUGUGACAGAGUGAAAUGGUCAAGGCAGACGUAUUUUUGCUUGAACUCACAUGUGCACACACGCAUUUGCACACAAGCAUCCUCUUGGUGUAACAUAAGCAACAAUAACCUCAUUUAAAGGCUAAGGCCAAGUGCAUUUGUCUUUUCUCUUUAUCUGAUGAAUUCUUCAAGGGCAGGUUGGUGUCCCUUUAUGCUCGGCCAGUCGUCCCUGGCAUAGUGUGAGCACUCAAUAAAUAAUAAUUAAUUCAGUCCCUUAAUAAAUAAUCAUGCAUUUACUCAAUAAAUAAUAAUUAGUGAUAAAAUGACUGAACAAGAAUGGCAAUACUUGGAAAGAUGUUAUAAAUGAGAUAUACCUGUGUAAAUCUAAUCAAAUGUAAUUUUUGAGGAAGAUAAUACUAAGAACUUGCGUCCUAUGAAUUUGGUGCAGAUAUUUAUGCCUCAGAUUUCAGGACAUGCUUGUUCAUUUAGUUCAUAUUGUCUCCAGUGUCUCGGCUGUAUUCACAUACAUUUAUAUAAACCUAUACUAUGCAUGUGUGCAGACAUACACAUAUUUACAUAUUUCUGUAUAUGUUUCUGUAUGUGUAUGCGUAGAUAUAGUUGUACCUGCAGAAACAUUUUUUUUUCCCUGUCUCAAUCUGAAUGUCUGACCCUGGGCAGGUUGGUGCAGCAUAUGCCAUUUAUCCUUGUGGGUGUUGUGUGGGGAACGCCAUUUCAUUUUGCGUCACUGCCGACACUGUGGUGGCUUCCUUGUAACCCAGAUCUUCGCCGCCGCGUGUCCUCGACUGUCCCAGGUAUUAGCUAACAUCAUUACCGUCAAAUUACUAUUUAGUUAAUCUCAUACACUCACUUGUCACGAGGUAGCUCAGUGACGGACUUUCUUACCUACGUAACGACUACUGAGAUACUUUCCUCCGAAAAAGCGAUUGACUGUGUGAAUUCCAGAAAUAAUUGUGCUAGAAAUACAAUUAAACAGGGAUCCUUUUGAUGCUACUCAAAUCAUGGCAUAUUUACAACUCCUGCUACUCAAUUCAGCCGGCAAGUGAAAAAAAAAAUUCUCCCUGCAUUUGUUUCCGGACAUCUGACAUUUUUAUCCCACAGAUAAAACAAUUGGAAAUAUAGAAUUUGCAUUAUUUCACUUUGCUUUUCGGUUGUGCAGACAGUCUUGUUAAAAUUUGAACCAACUCUCAGAAGACCGUUCGGUGGACAGAGCAGCACCUUAGAAAUCAUGUGACAUGUUGUAAUAAGUCCAUGUUGAUGGGACACGAUCAUCUACCAAAUUUCCCGUUUGUUUUUCCCUGGGAUGUUUUGCCCGAGUCUCUUCUUCAUUUCCUCCUUUCCAUCGAUAACUGCAGUGGAAAUUAAAUGCCAUUCACCUCCUUCGGGGUCCAGGUCGUGCCUCUUAGAAAAGCAAAUCAGUGUCGCUAAACUCUUUCUGAGUUGGUUCUGUAGAGUAACGACCGAGAGUGAACACCACGUUUGAAGAAACGUAAUUCAGACACGGCCUUUACUGAUGAGAACAAUUUUGCUAACGCGCGAAAGCUUUUUAUAAAGAGAAUAAUGUAAGAAGUAGAUGUAAUCAAAGGAAUGAGCCCUUUAGAUGACAGUUGGGUGAUAAUGAGAACUUGAUUCCAUGCUUAUGAGUUAUUUCGUUACUUUAGUCUAGUGGCCUGAAAGGUCCUUUAAAAAUCAUCUAGGUGGAUAUUUUAUAGGCAGCUAAUAGAGUGCAUGGUUGUUUCCAUUCAACUUUAAAAUAAACUUCAAAGUCCGAGAACUUUCUGUAUUACGUGGGGUUGUCGAAUUACAUACUGUUGAAAGGCAUGAUUUUCAUAUGCAAAAUAUCUUCCCAACAUGUGUCUGUUUUAAAAGGAUUCUUUUACUUAAAAUGUAAGAAUACAAAAAUAAAUACUUUAGCCAGGAAAAGUGGGUGAGCGCUUUAAGGAAGCGUGGGUCCCCUUUGAAACGUACCUUUGUCUCUAACGCCUGAGCCAUCCCUGAAGAUUAGAGACGGGACCCAAGGAGGGCUAUUCUUCAUCUUUUACCUGCUCAUUAAACGCCAGAUAGUUUUUUACUCAAUUAUGCAUCUGCCAAUGAAAAUAGCGAGCAAAGACAACAUCAAGGCCAUGUUUUCAUCUCCAUCGUGUUCCCUCGUGAAUUACAAGGUUGUGGGCUCUCCUGCAACACUUUAUAUUGACCCAGGCUUCAUAAAUCUGGUACAGGAGACUGAGCGGCUGAGCUCUAUGUUGUGAGCCUGUCUUUCUACCAACAGCAUUAAUCACUCGCUCGAGAGGAAGUAGCCGUGCAAGAGCGUUCUGCCUUCUGCUCUCGCCAGAAAGGACGUCUGAACAGAAGCCUUCAUGUUGCGCCUUUUCCCAGGGUUUUCAGUGCUUAGCCCUCUCUACAGGCUUCCAAGCCGUGAUCUCUCCUGUGCUCCUUAUGAGGCAGUGUCAAAAUAAGCCAAAAACAUACAAAGAAUGCUACACAUAUGAGAAAAAUCGUUGUAAGCUACAAUUUCUAAAGAUGGAGCUAAAAUUAAAAGGACAUUAGAUGCAUUUGUCUAUGAAAAAAAUUAAUCUUCCGUGUCCAGAGUCACUUGAAGUUGGAAAUGCAUCUGAGAUAGAAUGAUUUUUAUUCAGUUUUCUCCUUCAGGAAAUACUAAAUUUAACCGGAAACCAGCCAACACAUCUGUCUCUGAAAUGUUCCAGCAAAAGAUUCUAACUGUGGGCCCAAUAGGUUAUGCAUCUGGCCACCAGCGUUUUAAGCGGAAGAAAGGAGGGUUAUGACUAACACACAGGAAAUGGUGUUAUUCGAAUCAAAAAGUGAGGCUAGUGUGAAUGAGAUGAAAUAAAUGAGGUGGUUUUAGCUAGUACAAUCAUGCUGUUUCUCCCCAUUGUUUUAGUGCAUAAACAGAUGCAUCAGUACAUAUUUUUACUAAAGAAUCACUAAAAGUAAAUGCCCUUAUAUGUCCUUUUACAAGCUGGUUUUUCCUUUGCUCUCCUGUAACUUACUGGAUAACUCUCACGAGAGAUUUAAUUUCUUUUGUGUGUAAAGAAAUUUGUAAUCAAGUAGUUGGUAAUUGUUAACUUUUAUUUUUUGUCUUUUUCGGGCCACACCUGAGGCAUGUGAGGGUCCCAGGCUAGGGGAUGAAUCAGAGCUGUAGCCUCGGGCCUACGUCACAGCCACAGCAGGCUGGGAUCUGAGCCGCAUCUGCGACCUACCUCACAGCUCACGGCAAUGCCAGAUCCUUAACUCACUCGAACCUGCGUCCUUAUGGAUGCUAGGCAGAUUCGUUUCUGCUGAGCCAUGAUGGGAACGCCAUUAACUUUGUAACUUUUUUAUUGAAGUAGAGUUGAUUUGUAAUGUUGUAUUAUCUGGUGUACAGUAAAGCGAUUCAUGUGUUUAUAUAUAUAUAUUUUUUUCCAUUAUAGUGUGUCACAAGAUACUGAAUAUAAUCCCCAUGCCGUACAGCAGGCCUUGUUUAUCUGUUCGCACACAGUGCUUUGUACCUGCGAGUCCCCAGCCCCUGAUUUAUCCCUCCCCCCACAUUUCCCUCUGGGUGAAACCGUUAAGUCUGUGUCUGUGCGUUUGUUUUGUAAGGGGUCCAAGUCCUUUUGUAAGUCCUUUUAUUUAAAAAGUAAGAUGCAUCCUGCUGAACUCUGCUCUCCCUGACACCGCCCGCUAGUUCACAGAACACUUCCCUCUCUCCUCUGUUCUCUUAAAAAAGAAAAGUCAAAAGCUUCCAUGAAAUACAAAUUAUAUAGGUUGGUUUUACUUCUAAGGCAAAUCUGAUGGCAUUUUAUUGGGGAGAAACAAAGACUAGAGUUCUUAGCAUUUGUUUUAUUUUUUUCGUACUAGUGUGGAAGGCGUGUUACAGUUUCAGGAAACGUUGCUCCCAUCCUUUUUUCCAUCAUUUGUGAUACUUUCGGAAAACUGUUUAAACGAGUUGAACCGUAUACAAUUCAUCAGACUGAUUUCUUUCAUAUUGCUGGCAGUUUUAAUUACUAUCGAUAAUAUUAUUUGCCAAUUAUACUGAGUCAGGAAAUAGGAAGGUUAAUUGAGUUGACUUUUUAAAAAUAUAAAAUGUUAAUCAUUUUCCCCAGCUCUUUGUACGAUGGACUAAGGUUUUCAUCUCUAUCUGUCACUCACUGGCAGCUUGUAAAGCUGUGGACUCUCUCAGCUUUAUCUGUGUGAUAGAAACCGUUUUUAAUACUGCAAAAUCUCAUGGUGGAUAGAGAACCAGAUUGCCAAAAGAUUUGGUCAGGAGUUCCCGUCGUGGCGCAGUGGUUAACGAAUCCAACUGGGAACUAUGAGGUUUCAGGUUCGAUCCCUGGCCUUACUCGAUGGGUUAAGGAUCCGGCGUUGCCGUGAGCUGUGGUGUAGGUUGCAGACGUGGCUCAGAUCCCGCAUUGCUGUGGCUCCGGCGUAGGCCGGCGGCUACAGCUCCAAUUCGACCCCUAGCCUGGGAACCUCCAUAUGCUGCGGGAGCAGCCCUAGAAAAG
rnacentral:lncRNA from 1 species